rnacentral:rRNA from 1 species
GUGGGGAAUCUUCCGCAAUGGACGAAAGUCUGACGGAGCAACGCCGCGUGAGUGAUGAAGGUCUUCGGAUUGUAAAGCUCUGUUAAUCGGGACGAAAGAGCCUAGUGUGAAUAAUGCUAGGAAGUGACGGUACCGGAAUAGAAAGCCACGGCUAACUACGUGCCAGCAGCCGCGGUAAUACGUAGGUGGCAAGCGUUGUCCGGAAUUAUUGGGCGUAAAGCGCGCGCAGGCGGAUCUGCCAGUCUGUCUUAAAAGUUCGGGGCUUAACCCCGUGAUGGGAUGGAAACUACACAUCUAGAGUAUCGGAGAGGAAAGUGGAAUUCCAAGUGUAGCGGUGAAAUGCGUAGAGAUUUGGAAGAACACCAGUGGCGAAGGCGACUUUCUGGACGAUGUCUGACGCUGAGGCGCGAAAGCUAGGGGAGCGAACGGGAUUAGAAACCCCUGUAGUCC